GGAUAAAUUAAUAUAAAUAAAUUAAAUAUAUUUACACUAUUUUGUCUACUCCAUUUCUAUUUCUACUUUUGCCUUAUUACUAUCAAUCCUAUGUAGGAACACUUUUCCUUUUGUCUUUGCAAAGCAAAGGAAAAGUAGUAUGCUCCUCUCCCUCCCUAUCCUCACAAAGUGAGGGGAGAUAAAGGAGGGUCCUAGGGCUAAAUAUAACUGCAAAGGUGUAUAUUAAAUAUGGAAAAACAAAAAAAGUAAAAUAACUUAUUUAUAAAUAACUAUCACUCAAUCCAGUCUUAAAUAAAAAAAAAGAAAAAACAAUAUAAUAAAAAUAAAAAUAAUAAUACAAAUUACUAUUUAUAUAAAUAAAUACUUUCUCCUUAUUAUUUAAAUAGAGGGAUUGGCUAUGCAAGAACUGGUA
rnacentral:rRNA from 1 species